rnacentral:rRNA from 1 species
AUACGUAGGUGACAAGCGUUAUCCGGAUUUACUGGGCGUAAAGGGCGUGUAGGCGGUCUUGCAAGUCAGAAGUGAAAUUCCUGAGCUCAACUCGGGCGCUGCUUCUGAAACUGCAGGACUUGAGUGCUGGAGGGGAUAGCGGAAUUCCUAGUGGAGCGGUAAAAUGCGCAGAUAUUAGGAAGAACACCGGUGGCGAAGGCGGCUAUCUGGACAGUAACUGACGCUGAGGCGCGAAAGCGUGGGGAGCAAACAGGAUUAGAUACCCUGGUAGUCCUGGCCGUAAACGAUGGGUACUAGGUGUGGGAGGUAUCGACUCCUUCCGUGCCGGAGUUAACGCAAUAAGUACCCCGCCUGGGGAGUACGGCCGCAAGGCUUAAACUCAAAUGAAUUGACGGGG